GGUAUUCCUUGCUUUGAGUUGGAUGAAGAACGUGAGUGGUGGCAGCUUUGGACUGUGGCAGAGGUCCCCAGGUCCCCUCUGCAGCGCACCAUGUCAUAAGGGAAGCUGGAAAACUACAACAGGCGAGGGAGAAAAAGCUGAACGAUAGAUGUGAGGAGGAAAUUCAAGGCACUGCCCACCCUGCCCACUGGACAACGUGCCUCUUUGGCGUAGGUGGAUCCAUUAAGUGCAUCUCGACCGCUGUGGAGUCAGCAUUGGAUGAGAGAAUGUGCUGCUGGAGAUGAAGAGAUGAAGCAUGGAGAAAAUGGGCAGAAGAGGUUCAGAAUAUUAAUAAGGCUGGAACAUCGUGAUGUUCACAUGGGCAGAGGGAGCCCUGUUAGACCCCAGGCUAUACGAUGCUGAUACUCUAGAAUUCCCGGAUCUGUACGGAGCGGACCUUUUGCUGAGCAGCCCUCGGACAGCUGUUCAGUCUGGGACUUCUGGUUGGAUCCACCACAGACUUGACAUUGAACAUAUAUGUCACUACUUUCCCAGAGAGUAGGACAUCUGCAGCUCCAAGUUGUCAGCACUGCUUGACUUUUCACUGGUUCAGCUCGGU